UGGGGAAUUUUGGACAAUGGGGGAAACCCUGAUCCAGCCAUCCCGCGUGUGCGAUGAAGGCCUUCGGGUUGUAAAGCACUUUUGGCAGGAAAGAAACGUCAUGGGUUAAUACCCCGUGAAACUGACGGUACCUGCAGAAUAAGCACCGGCUAACCACGUGCCAGCAGCCGCGGUAAUACGUAGGGUGCAAGCGUUAAUCGGAAUUACUGGGCGUAAAGCGUGCGCAGGCGGUUCGGAAAGAAAGAUGUGAAAUCCCAGAGCUCAACUUUGGAACUGCAUUUUUAACUACCGGGCUAGAGUGUGUCAGAGGGAGGUGGAAUUCCGCGUGUAGCAGUGAAAUGCGUAGAUAUGCGGAGGAACACCGAUGGCGAAGGCAGCCUCCUGGAAUAAAACUGACGCUCAUGCACGAAAGCGUGGGGGGCAAACAGG
rnacentral:rRNA from 1 species